GGAGAAUCGAGCUAAAACAUGGGAACUCGGUCCCUCGUGGCUGUGACGACCUCUCCUGUGGUCCCCAGAGCUCCUUUUGCCGACGUCACGCAAUGAAUCUUGAGCCUUCAGGAGGAGCCCAUAGUAAGAACACGACAUCCAGGCAACACUACUUCUUCUUCCUGUCAUGCUGGACUGAGUGCAAAGCAGAUGCUACAGUGGCUCAUCAUUUCCUCUUCAGUGCACGAUUUGUACGACCCACAGCCCGGUUCACCACCAGCUCACAUUAAACAGCAGCUGUCCAAUGAGUCUUUCCAGGGGCUCAGCAGGAGUUUGGCUCCCGAUCUUGACUCCUAAACAUCACAUCACAUACUUGCAGGGCUGAGGUGGCUCCUGCAGGACGGAGCUGAGCUGGCUGAGCAUAUGGCGGGAGGAAGCUGCCUACGGAAACCGCUCGUCUUCAAACCGAGGGAGGAACACGCCGCUAACACUUUGCAUCUCUCCCCUCCCCUCCCCUCAC